UAGCUCAACCGGUAGAGCAAGGCACUAACACCGCCGGGGUUAGGGGUUCGAUUCCCAGUGUAGCUCAA